rnacentral:misc_RNA from 1 species
GAGAGUGCAAAGUUGGAGCUACGACCUUUGCACAGGCAACUAAUUGCGAUGUGGCCAAUGCGCACUGGGUGGCGGCUGAGAUUACACGAUUUUGAGUCGCUGAAUCCUCACAAGUGGCUGCGAUAUUCUUUGCUUUGAGCACCAGAGCGGCAGUUGAAUUGGCUACGGCCUUAGCUAAUGCCAAUAGCAUGUCCUGGAGUUCUCGAUUCGAGUCAUUUUCCUCUCCUAUCGUUGUCAACACCUGGUGAGAUGCCUCGCCAACACGGGAUGCGGCGUUCAGCAAGUUCUGUCUCGGCUGGAUUUCAGGUUCGGUGGCUUUGAGCAAGUCGGAGAAGGCGGAGCACAGCUUCCUUGCUGCAUCCAGCAGUUUGUCUCCCGAAGAGUCGUCAUCCAUCAGGGCGGCGAUCAUUCUGACGCCUUUCGUCAUCUCCGGCAGAUUGGUUGCGAUCGUUGUGAUAGCUGCACCUACCGCUGUGUGAUCCACGUCGUCGGCUGGACCGGAUGUCAAAGUGACCACCUGAGCUGUCGCGGCGUUCAUCGCCGCGAUCUGAGAGCCAACGUUCUGUUUGUGCGUAUCGAUCGUCUGUUCGAUCCAUUUCAACGAGGCCGGAUCGUUGCCCAGUUCUGGAAGCUGAGCCUUGCAGGACAGUUCCGUCUCCGCGAUGUGGAUCACCUCGUGACCAGCGGUGAUAGUCGACAGUAAGGCACGUUGUGGUUCGGACAGGACGGAUGUGACCUUGGUUUGUUGCACCUGGUUGCGGUUAGACUUACAUUAACUCAAGAAUCGGUCGAUGGAUAAACGGACGGAUGCGUGUUGUACCGACGUAUCCUGAUCGAGGUGAUUUGAAGGCGCUCCGUCUUCUCAGCGAAUCUUUUCACGCCUUCAAAUUGCCCAUUCAAAUUGAUUACUACUAAAUAAUCGUUCCUCAAUGACGGGUGCACAAAUAAAGAAUGCAUAUGUUGAAUAAAAAUUCUUACGAUACAGAAUUCACCAAUAAACUAGGUAAAUUCAAUCCAAGUACUUUUAUAUCUCCGUGAAGUUUAAUAUAUUUUAGUCACGAAAAUGAAACUUAAUGAAAUUAAGAAUUGGAACGACGUAACAGAAAUUUACUUAAAUGCCAAUGACAUAUAACAAAAAGUUUUAUCAUCGAGUACCUACUCUGUGUCCGCAAUAGAAGGCGCCUAGCAUGAAAACAAAUUUAACCGUCAAUUAGUUUUACGCAAUUGCUUCGGUAUGCAACGAAAUUGUUUUAUUAUAUUGAUGUUGAACUUAAAUAUACCGUUGAUAUUCGCUGCGAUC